ACGUGACGCGCGGGGAGCCUGUGGAUGUGACGGAGGGUUCCGCUAACUAGCCCCCUGCUCAACAAAGAUGGCCGAUACCUCAUACUGCUUCACCUAGAAGCCACUGAUACAAAAUAGGACCCUAGAAAGUCCAGAGUAAAAUGGCAGCAACAGAGCCAUGGUGGUGUGUCAGAGCAGGCAUAGUUAGCAGAUACACUGGAUGGUGUACUGAACUUAUCAGUUACGCAAAAGUACUUUAGUGACCAGUUGGCAGUGGAUUGGGUUUGAGUAUUUCAAACUUCAUUUUAUUAUCCUGGGGCUUCCUGUAAUUUGCGCAAAUUUCUGAAGUGACAUGCAGCAUCUGGGAAAACCACACACUUGCGCAGCAUGUUUGGCAUUGCGAAGAAAAUCUUUGUUAUGAUCAUUUCAUCCCCAAAGUGUAAUUUAUAGAAAGUUAACGUCAGAGAAAUGUCAAAAGUUACGAUUGGUCAGGGUGGGGGUGUUCAAAACACAACCAAUAGCAUGAGUUUGGACAAAUGCUUCUCUCCCCAUAUUGCUGCAUAGAAAGUCUACAGAGAAAGUCUUAUGCAGCAGGACAAGGAGAGAAGCACUUUGCUGACAUGAGCCGGGAGUGCCUUGCUUGGCUAUCUGUGGAGGUCAGAUCCCGAUAAGUGACAAAUGAAAUUUUUGUGACAGGAAACAAACCAAAAAAGAAAACCACAUGGAGCAGUUCAUAACACCAGCAAUAUGAUUUAAAAUUAGCAUUUAUUGUAUCCUCUAGGUGCAAAUGGGAGUUUUCUAAUUCUAAUCUAUUCAUGUGGAUUGCACUACAUUGUGUUAUAGACUUCUGCAUCAAAUGAUGUAUAAAUAUCAUUUUACGAUUGUCUGUUAUUUCCUAGUGUGAAUUCCUGCUGCACUACAGGUACAACCAGUACUCAACCAUUGUGACAAGCUCCCGGUUUACACUGCCAUAUCAAUUUUACCACCCAAAUCACGUUUUCUGAAACAAAAACUUGGCACAUUGUGAAAAUCCCACCCAGCACUUUGCAAACUUGCAUAAGAGCUCAUAACGUAAAUUCCGUUUUUUUUUUUUUAAAUAAAAAGUAAAAAUUAAUUUAUGUGUUAAAUGUCUGGCCCAACAGACUUAUGUGUAUAAAUCUACAUCAUGUUUAUAUAUUUGCCAGAAUUAGCAAGACCAAAAUUAUGCUAUGCUGUAGUAACCCUCCCUGUCUGGUUAGGCUACUUUCACACUACCGCUGUGCCCUGUCGAGAAUGGCCAUUUAAAUUUUUAUUUAAAAAUAGCCAUUAUCUGGACGGGGCGCAACGAGUCCCGAUGGAUCCCAUUAUAGUCAAUGGGUCCGUCGAGCGCCAUUGUUUUGUAGCGGGAGAGAAAGACGGCGCAUGCAGUAUAUUCACUCCCCGGGUUCCCCGACGGCAGUCACACUAUCGUAUCACACAAGCAGUGUGAAAAGAAGCCUUAGAGGGGUGAUAACAGGAAAGAAAGAAAAAAAUACCUGGGUCCCUGGAGGCUAUAUAAGAGGACAGAUGACAGUAAACGUGGCCAUACACCACCAGUAGCUGUUGGCUGAAACAUACCCGAUUUUUUUUCUAAUCUUGCCAGUCUCAACAAAACUGCCAGAUAUGGAUGACUUGGCUCUUUUGUGUACUGGUACCUGAGAAGACUGGGCUACACUAUAAGACUAAGAUCUAAGCACUAGCAUUAUUUCAUUCAGUAUUCAUUUUUUUUUAAUGGUUAUUACCAUCAGGAAAUGUGGCAGUCCCAUUCUAAUAGGGGGAAACAGCAGUGCUUUAGUUAUAUAUUUCCUUCUAGAUCUGCACUUAUAAUGGCUGUUGCUAGUGCUUGUGUUUUAUCACUUGUAUGUUUACAGGGGCAAGUCCAGAUGCACCACAGUAAUCCCCAACACUAACCACAGACUUUAAGGCUAUGUUCAUAUUUCAGAACGUCCGCACAGAAAAUCUCCGUGUGGACAUUCCGGAGGCUGCAGGCACUAGGACCGCACAGGAAUGUGCUGUCUCAUAGACGGCUAUAUAUUCUGUAAGGAGUCCGCAGAAAAAAAUAAACCGGUUCAUUCUUUCUGCGGACAAGGAAACUGCCACAGCGCAGCAGAAUCCCAUUGAAUACGGACGUGUGAACAUGGCCUAAUGCUGCAUGUAACACCAUGCUUCGCCUUCCAAUCACACUGACAUUCCCAACUGCCUAGCUGUGCAUGAACUGCUUGUACUAUGACCCCAUUUCAUAUGAAAGGCCCCCACGGGGAAUUUCCCUCCAAAUCAAGUAAUCAGGGAACCACUACACAGUUUAAAAGCUAAGAGAUACUGCACUAGAUCAGCACUGCUGCCUCUCAGUUUUCAGAAUGGGUGAGGGUUCCUGAGGUUUAAAUGAUGAAACGUUCAUGUGCUCUGUUAUAAUUUUUAAAAACAAUGUCCGACAAAGAUGGACAAUUCUUAACCUAUAUAAUCAAAGAGUAAUAAUUUCUUUAAAGAAUUAAUAAUUUCUUUAAAGUUUAUCCAUUUACUAUGAAAUACAUUAUACUGUUUUUAAAAGGCCUGUAAUGGACUCCCUAAGCCAUUCACACUGUAUUUCCAUGCUUGUGAUCAGUAUAAGCAAAUACUGGAAAUAACCCACACAAAAAUACAAAGUGGAUCAAAAAAUUGUUUGAAAUAAAGGAACACAUCUCAUCAUUACACUUUCAUUCACACCCAACAUAUUCUCAUGGUUUUAGUCCCGAUUCAGUUCAGAAGGAAGAAAGAAAGGACACCUUUUAGAAUGCAUCAGGGUCUUGUGAUUCUUGAAAUGCCAGCAGUUUUUUUUUUGUUUUUUUUUAUUAUUGGAGGUAUUCACUGUCCCACAAGACUUGCAGAAUGCCACAGAUGCCUCCCUAAAUAGAGGAGCAAAUCUCUUGGAAAUUAUAUGCAACAAUAACUAGAGAAAAACAAUUACAAAAAAAAAUAAAAUCAAUAAGGCGUAGAAAGGAGGAUGAAAAAAAAAAAUAAAAAUACAAAGACCAGAGAUCCAAUAGUAAGAUAUCAGAAGGAAGAGAUAAAAGGAUACACCGACUGUCCGUUCUGUUGAUCUGAGUCGCUUCGCAUUGGAUUGGUCAUUGAGCAAGUCCCAUCAAUCCCUGCCCUACAAGCCGCUGCAUGCAGAAAUCUGGGGUAUAACUUUACAGGUUGGAGGUAUUUUGAGAAAGCUGAUAGGACUGAUGGCAAAGAAGAUCACCAAAAUAUGGCAUUAAAAAUAAUUCAUAUGAUCAGGAACAGUACCUGUCCUGCAGUCAUCAUCUCCUCUGUCAAUCCAUUAAAAAAAAAAAAAAAUGUAUAAAGACAAGUAAAAAUCUGAGAAGAACAGGGAGGGACAGCUGGGCUGGUGUUACAAAAAGCAUCAUACAAAAAGACACAUGCUACAUAAAAAAAAUA